AACGAACGCUGGCGGCAGGCCUAACACAUGCAAGUCGAGCGGACCUUUCGGGGUCAGCGGCGGACGGGUGAGUAACGCGUGGGAAUAUGCCCUUCUCUACGGAAUAGUCCUGGGAAACUGGGGGUAAUACCGUAUACGCCCUUUGGGGGAAAGAUUUAUCGGGGAAGGAUUAGCCCGCGUUGGAUUAGGUAGUUGGUGGGGUAAUGGCCUACCAAGCCGACGAUCCAUAGCUGGUUUGAGAGGAUGAUCAGCCACACUGGGACUGAGACACGGCCCAGACUCCUACGGGAGGCAGCAGUGGGGAAUCUUAGACAAUGGGGGCAAUCCUGAUCUAGCCAUGCCGCGUGAGUGAUGAAGGCCUUAGGGUUGUAAAGCUCUUUCAGCUGGGAAGAUAAUGACGGUACCAGCAGAAGAAGCCCCGGCUAACUCCGUG
rnacentral:rRNA from 1 species